UCAGGAUGAACGCUAGCUACAGGCUUAACACAUGCAAGUCGAGGGCAGCAUGAAGUUGCUGCAAACUUGAUGGCGACCGGCGCACGGGUGAGUAACGCGUAUCCAACCUGGCCCACAGUAGGGAAUAGCCCGGCGAAAGUCGGAUUAAUGCCCUAUGUUCUCCUUUGAUGGCAUCUGACGAGGAGCAAAGGUUUACCGCUAUGGGAUGGGGAUGCGUCUGAUUAGGUAGUCGGCGGGGUAACGGCCCACCGAGCCAUCGAUCAGUAGGGUUCUGAGAGGAAGGUCCCCCACAUUGGUACUGAGACACGGACCAAACUCCUACGGGAGGCAGCAGUGAGGAAUAUUGGUCAAUGGACGAGAGUCUGAACCAGCCAAGUAGCGUUGCAGGAAGACUGCCCUAUGGGUUGUAAACUGCUUUUAUGCGGGAAUAAAGUCAGGUACGUGUACCUGUUUGUAUGUACCGCAUGAAUAAGGACCGGCUAAUUCCGUGCCAGCCGCGGC
rnacentral:rRNA from 1 species